GGUUACAAUUCAUUUUAUAAUUAGGAAUGAAAAAAAACAAAAACGCAUUAAUUGUAACAUGACGUGCGGGUACAGACGAAUCAAAGUAUGUGUACACCACUACGGGUCUGCACGUUUUUCUACCGUUUCUGCGCCGAUUUUAACCACUUUUUGUAAGACGAUUACCGUACUGCACUAUCGUUAAAAUCGCCGAGCAAAUCUCCGAACGAGGAAAAGAUCAAUACGGAUCGUAUGUAUACUGUGUAUACAUUUGACGGGCUAUUUGUUUUUUUUUUUUUAUACGAACCUACAGUUUUAUUACGAAUGUACAGUUGUCUGCUCUUUGUUCUCGAAUCAAAAAAGCAUUCCGAGCACAACCAGUAAACCGAUAAGGAUGAUGGAUUAUAGAAUUAUUGGUCGUGUUUUUUUUCCGUUGCGCCUAAGGUAAUCAGGAAAUCAAAGAAAACCGUUUAGAUUGUCAGUUUUGUUGAACGAAUUUUUUUUUUUUUUCUGGAAAAACUGUUGAGAAUUUAGAAAAAGAUUUCGAAUAAAAUACCACCGGGCGAAAACACCCCGUUUUAGGGAUUUCCGAAUUAAAAAAAAAAAAAACACGCACAUCUCAAAAGCUUUUUCGCUCUAGACUCCGAAUCUAAUAACAAAUGUUUUUUUUUCAUUGAUACGACCAUUAUUAGUUUGGUUUAUUUACAGCGCGUUUCGUCAACAAUACGUAUUCUCAAUUGUAUAUUGCGACCUUUUUUUUUUUUUUUUUCUCUCGCACGUAAAAAAACCGAACACUUUGUCGGUACCCAACGGACGUUUGCUUUGCGUAUUUCGGCGCGUCCGAUUGUAUUCGAGCGCACAAAGUCGCACGAGAACUCCGAUUACGAGUGUUCCGCGCG